CAGAUAUUCUCUGAAGGAUAGGGGUGAGAUAAGAGGUCCUUCCGGAAAAUGAAAAGGAGGCGGACAGAAGCCAUUCUGGGUAGCAGAAUAGCCAGCUCUCUCCAUCUCCACCCAGGGGGCAGCAGAGUGGUUGGGAUGACGUUUCCAGGAAACCUUAGGUCUACCCGGGGGUCAGUUUGCCCCUGGAGUCCAGCUCUCUCCUGUCACCACCUCAGACAGACCUUGGUGUACUUUGCCCUGUCUCUUUGGAGCCUACCUACAGGGACCCCAGAAGCCCCAGGUCCAGGUGUGUGUGUGAGUGGUUGGAGGCGGUCACAGUGGGAAAGAGCCAGAGGGGGCCACAGCCCAGCCCAGCCUAAGCAGUGGAGGCUUGCAGCUCCCUCCCUGCCACCCCCGCCCUCCCCAGGUGGCAUACCCGUGGGCCUGAUGGCAGGCAGAAAGGGACUGCUCUCCUGGACUGCUGGGAGGAGGAAGGAGGCAGAGACAAGGGGGAAGAAUCAGACUUGAUGUCCUUCCCUGGGCUGGGCCUGGAUUCUGGCUCCCAUUCCAGGGACUGUCUGCUCCCGGGUAAGGGAUGGGCUCAGGCCACGGCAGUGGGUGGCAACCCAGAGACCCCAGUGGGGCCCAGGGAAAGAGACGGGCUGAGGACCUGGAAAAAACACUCUCACUGAGAACACAAACAGGGCUCACCCUCUGCCAGAUGUUCCUGGAAAACGUUUAGGACCUGUAUCAACAUAUGAAAUUCCUAUCAAACUUUCAUUAAUCGGAGCCCUUUGCUGUCAGUCCCCACCUGAUCCCUCUGGACGUUCCUGGGAGGGGACUGAGCCUGGGUUACUGGGAGGGCUUGAGGUAGGGCAGGGCUGCCGCUGUCCCACAGUCAAGGCCAGGUUGGCUGCGGCUCCCCCGGCUGCAGCAGCCAGAACCAGGCCCGCUGAGUGACCGAGACCGGAGAUGGAGUAACUGUCGUGCUUCCGUGGGUCAUGAGCCCACACUUCCCAUGCUCAGAGCAGCUCCUCUCCCACCCACCCAACCCAGGACUGCUGUCAGCUGCUUCCAGAGGUUCUGGACUUUGCACAGUGGGGAUGCUUUAAUGGAGUAGGAGACUCACAAAGAACCAAAAGCCCCACUUAGGACACUUAGGAGCUGAGAGCUGGGCUGGCUCCACAGUUAGGGAGAGGGAGGCUUAGGCAGGACUUCUGGAGGGAGGAGGUCCUCAGGAGGGAGUUUCUGGGGAAGGGCUUCCUGGGGAGAAGGGUCCCGUGGGGGCUCCAGUCAGCCCCUCCUCUCUAGGACUAAGCCACUGGGACCCCUCAGACCUGGCUAUCCACUGGUCUCCACCCCACUUCUUCCCAUCCUGCACAUGCUCCCUCCCUUUCCAGGCCAUCACAGGAUGGAAGUUCUAUCCUGUUCCUGGAGGGAGAGGGGCUGGGCUCAUUUUGUCCUAGGAGAGCAUCCCAGAGAUCUUCAUGGGGUGGGAGGAGAUGGGAACCAAUGCUGUUAUUCCACA
rnacentral:lncRNA from 1 species